UAGACCCGGCAUUGCAGGGAGAUAAAUGCGAUGGCAACACUACCGCUGAGUGGCAGCGGAAAUACAAAUUAAAUCUAUGUUGUUAGGAGGACACAAA
rnacentral:ncRNA from 1 species